CCCCUCUCUGGGUCGCAGCUGGAGAGUUUCCAGUAUUCUAACAGUCUCGGCUACACGAGGGAGAAUCGAGCGGAGGCCUGUCCAUUCCAUUCCUAGCUUGGCCAGUGGCUAGCGAGUGGAAGGCAACCUGCUACAAGU